rnacentral:rRNA from 1 species
UACGGGGGGGUGCGAGCGUUGUCCGGAAUCACUGGGCGUAAAGAGCGUGUAGGCGGUUUGGUAGGUCCGCUGUGAAAACUCGAGGCUCAACCUCGAGACGCCGGUGGAAACCAUCAGGCUAGAGUCCGGAAGAGGAGAGUGGAAUUCCUGGUGUAGCGGUGAAAUGCGCAGAUAUCAGGAAGAACACCCGUGGCUAAGGCGGCUCUCUAGUACGGUACUGACGCUGAGACGCGAAAGCGUGGGGAGCGAACAGG